AUUUCGUUCCUAACUUUCCUUCCUUCAUUCUCCUCAAUUCAAAGAAAGAAAACCCUAGCUAGCCUCCACAGUCGCCGAAUGGAGUGAGUGACCAUUGCCGCCGUCCGUGGUUGUCCGAGGCUUCUCUCUUCGUCUUGUCCUCAACCCCCUGUUCACACUUCGGUCUUUUCUUCCUCACUCGGCAUCCAUCCUCCAUCGUCUUCAUCCUGCGCGCUGUCCUCUCGUCGCCGUUUCGUUUCUAACAAAAAUAAAAAACAAAGCUUCGGUAGCGCUGAGAUCCCCUUGCCCCUUUCUCUCCUUCUUCACUCUCCAGAACUCAACUCAACCUCAAGUCCUCUCAACCAAAGAAAAAGUUCAAAACCCUAGCCUCAGCUGCUGUUCGUUUGUCCGUCGAGCCACUGCCUCCGUCUGUUCGUCAAGCCCCGGAGCCCAGAUCCCCAAACUUCAAAGAUGCUUACCUGGGUAUCCCUUCAAGUGUUCGAAGCUAUAGAUUACUCCUGAGAAUGGCUUAUCCGAGAGUGAUACUGAUAAACUAUUGUCACUCCUCCAUGAUCAGGUAGUGUUGUAGUAAUAUUUAUGGCUAGGAUGAAGUAUUGGUUAGCAAUAAAAUGCUUUGAUGUUUUUGGUUCCUUGGUGUCCAAGUUGGUAGAAAGGGAGCCACAUGGUGGAAGAAGUAUCAAUUGGAGGCAAGGAAGCAACUUUCAACUCAGCGAGGCUAUCUUCGCUUUCGACCGUAAAUGAAGAAGGAGAAGCAUCUCAGAGAAGCUUUCUAACAGCAUUUAGUUGUUUGUCAUCAAAAUUAGAAACCUUGGACAAUGAUUCUUUAGAGUGUUUUUAUACCUUUAUUUAUAAUUAUAUUUUAGAAUGUUUAUUUAUAAUUUA